rnacentral:rRNA from 1 species
CCCUUAGAUGUUCGGGGCCGCACGCGCGCUACACUGAAGGACUCAGCGUGUCUCUCCCCCUAUCCCGAAAGGGAUGGGCAACCCGUUGAACCUCCUUCGUGCUAGGGAUUGGGGUUUGCAAUUAUCCCCCAUGAACGAGGAAUUCCCAGUAAGCGCGAGUCAUCAGCUCGCGUUGAUUACGUCCCUGCCCUUUGUACACACCGCCCGUCGCUACUACCGAUUGGAUGGUUUAGUGAGACCCUCGGAUCGGUCCCGACUCGGGGUGGGCUUCUGCCCCGGUCGUGGUUUCGCCGAGAAGACGGUCAAACUUGACUAUCGAGAGGAAGUAAAAGGCGUAACA